UGUGGUCGGUGUACAGGUGGUGCAUGGCUGUCGUCAGCUCGUGUCGUGAGAUGUUGGGUUAAGUCCCGCAACGAGCGCAACCCUUGUCCUGUGUUGCCAGCGUGCCCUUCGGGGUGACGGGGACUCACAGGAGACCGCCGGGGUCAACUCGGAGGAAGGUGGGGACGACGUCAAGUCAUCAUGCCCCUUAUGUCUUGGGCUGCACACGUGCUACAAUGGCAGGUACAAUGAGCUGCGAUACCGUGAGGUGGAGCGAAUCUCAAAAAGCCUGUCUCAGUUCGGAUUGGGGUCUGCAACUCGACCCCAUGAAGUCGGAGUUGCUAGUAAUCGCAGAUCAGCAUUGCUGCGGUGAAUACGUUCCCGGGU
rnacentral:rRNA from 1 species